GGCUGCCUAGCGCAAUGGUAGCGCGUUUGACUUCGAUCGGUUACUCAGUAACGAUGGUAUCAAAAGGUUGCAUGUUCGAGUCCUGCGGUGGUCA